AUUGAACGCUGGCGGCAGGCCUAACACAUGCAAGUCGAGCGGGGACUUCGGUCCUAGCGGCGAACGGGUGAGUAAUGCUUGGGAAUCUGCCCAGUAGUGGGGGAUAACGUCCCGAAAGGGACGCUAAUACCGCAUACGUCCUACGGGAGAAAGAGGGGGAUCUUCGGACCUCUCGCUAUUGGAUGAGCCCAAGUCGGAUUAGCUAGUUGGUAGGGUAAUGGCCUACCAAGGCGACGAUCCGUAGCUGGUCUGAGAGGAUGAUCAGCCACACUGGAACUGAGAAACGGUCCCGAACUCUAAGGGAGGCAGGCGGGGGGAAUAUUGGAACAUGGGCGAAAGGCUGAUCCAGGCCUGCCCGGGUGUGUGAGGAGGGCCUUCGGUUUUAAAGCACUUUAAGCGGGGAGGAAGGUUCGCGGCCUAAUACGUCGCGGAAUUGACGUUACCCGCAGAAUAAGCACCGGCUAACUCUGUG
rnacentral:rRNA from 1 species